rnacentral:tRNA from 1 species
GGAUGUUUUUCGGUUAUCUUACUGUGAAUGAGGAAUUCUGGGUUCGAAUCCCAGCGGGUCCA